rnacentral:rRNA from 1 species
AUUGAACGCUGGCGGCAUGCCUUACACAUGCAAGUCGAACGGUAACAGGUUAAGCUGACGAGUGGCGAACGGGUGAGUAAUGUAUCGGAACGUGCCCAGUCGUGGGGGAUAACUGCUCGAAAGAGCAGCUAAUACCGCAUACGACCUGAGGGUGAAAGCGGGGGAUCGCAAGACCUCGCGCGAUUGGAGCGGCCGAUAUCAGGUUAGGUAGUUGGUGAGGUAAAGGCUCACCAAGCCGACGAUCUGUAGCUGGUCUGAGAGGACGACCAGCCACACUGGGACUGAGACACGGCCCAGACUCCUACGGGAGGCAGCAGUGGGGAAUUUUGGACAAUGGGCGCAAGCCUGAUCCAGCCAUGCCGCGUGCGGGAAGAAGGCCUUCGGGUUGUAAACCGCUUUUGUCAGGGAAGAAAAGGUUCUGGCUAAUACCUGGGACUCAGGACGGUACCUGAAGAAUAAGCACCGGCUAACUACGU